rnacentral:tRNA from 1 species
AUUAAUUUAUCAUAAAAAUAAUGAAAUUAACUUCGAAUUAAUAAAUAAAUAGUUUAAUU